AGAGUUUGAUCAUGGCUCAGGAUGAACGCUAGCGGCAGGCUUAAUACAUGCAAGUCGAGGGGCAGCGGGAGUAGCAAUACUUGCCGGCGACCGGCGCACGGGUGCGUAACACGUAUACAAUCUGCCUCUAACAGGGGAAUAGCCCGGAGAAAUUCGGAUUAAUACCCCAUAACAAAUGAGAUGGCAUCAUUUUAUUUUGAAAGCUACGGCGGUUAGAGAUGAGUAUGCGUCUGAUUAGCUAGUUGGUGAGGUAACGGCUCACCAAGGCGACGAUCAGUAGGGGAUCUGAGAGGAUGACCCCCCACACGGAUACUGAGACACGGAUCCGACUCCUACGGGAGGCAGCAGUAAGGAAUAUUGGACAAUGCCCGCAAGGGUGAUCCAGCCAUGCCGCGUGCAGGAAGACGGCCCUAUGGGUUGUAAACUGCUUUUGUACCGGAGAAAACCUUUCCCUGCGGGGAGAGCUGAUCGUACGGUGAGAAUAAGCAUCGGCUAACUUCGUGCCAGCAGCCGCGGUAAGACGAAGGAUGCAAGCGUUAUCCGGAUUCAUUGGGUUUAAAGGGAGCGUAGGCGGUCUAAUAAGUCAGUGGUGAAAUCUCUCGGCUUAACUGAGAAAUGGCCAUUGAUACUGUUGGACUUGAGUACAGAUGCCGUUGGCGGAAUAUGACAUGUAGUGGUGAAAUACAUAGAGAUGUCAUAGAACACCGAUUGCGAAGGCAGCUGACGAAACUGUAACUGACGCUGAGGCUCGAAAGUGUGGGGAUCAAACAGGAUUAGAUACCCUGGUAGUCCACACUGUA
rnacentral:rRNA from 1 species